AAAAGAAAGCCAUAGGGGGUGAAGAUGUUGAAGGGAUGAUACAGAUUGAGAUGCAUUGUAUAGAUAAACUGCUUUGUCAAUGGGAAAAA